AUUGAACGCUGGCGGCAUGCCUUACACAUGCAAGUCGAACGGCAGCACGGGAGCAAUCCUGGUGGCGAGUGGCGAACGGGUGAGUAAUAUAUCGGAACGUGCCCAGUCGUGGGGGAUAACGUAGCGAAAGCUACGCUAAUACCGCAUACGAUCUAUGGAUGAAAGCGGGGGAUCGCAAGACCUCGCGCGAUUGGAGCGGCCGAUAUCAGAUUAGGUAGUUGGUGAGGUAAAGGCUCACCAAGCCGACGAUCUGUAGCUGGUCUGAGAGGACGACCAGCCACACUGGGACUGAGACACGGCCCCAGACUCCUACGGGAGGCAGCAGUGGGGGAAUUUUUGGACAAUAGGGCGCAAGCCUGAUCCAGCAAUGCCGCGUGCAGGAUGAAGGCCUCGGUUGGUAACGUUA
rnacentral:rRNA from 1 species